UUAGUGGCGUACGGGUGAGUAACGCGUGGAUAACCUGCCGUAUGCAGGGGGAUAACAGUUGGAAACAGCUGCUAAUACCGCAUAAGCGCACGGUGCCGCAUGGUACAGUGCGAAAAGAUUUAUCGGCAUACGAUGGAUCCGCGUCCGAUUAGCCAGUUGGCGGGGUAACGGCCCACCAAAGCGACGAUCGGUAGCCGGCCUGAGAGGGCGGACGGCCACAUUGGGACUGAGACACGGCCCAAACUCCUACGGGAGGCAGCAGUGGGGAAUAUUGGACAAUGGGGGGAACCCUGAUCCAGCGACGCCGCGUGAGUGAAGAAGUAUUUCGGUAUGUAAAGCUCUAUCAGCAGGGAAGAAAGAAAUGACGGUACCUGACUAAGAAGCCCCGGCUAACUACGUGCCAGCAGCCGCGGUAAUACGUAGGGGGCAAGCGUUAUCCGGAUUUACUGGGUGUAAAGGGAGCGUAGACGGCAGUGCAAGUCUGAAGUGAAAGGCGGGGGCCCAACCCCCGGACUGCUUUGGAAACUGUGCUGCUGGAGUGCAGGAGAGGCAAGUGGAAUUCCUAGUGUAGCGGUGAAAUGCGUAGAUAUUAGGAGGAACACCAGUGGCGAAGGCGGCUUGCUGGACUGUAACUGACGUUGAGGCUCGAAAGCGUGGGGAGCAAACAGGAUUAGAUACCCUGGUAGU
rnacentral:rRNA from 1 species